rnacentral:rRNA from 1 species
AGCCUUUAGCCCUACUAGUAUUAAAGGUCUUGCCUGCCCAGUGACUCUUUAAACGGCCGCGGUAUCCUAACCGUGCAAAGGUAGCAUAAUCACUUGUCCCCUAAAUAGGGACUGGAAUGAAUGGCUAAAUGAGGACUAAACUGUCUCUUACAGAUUAGCCAAUGAAAUUGAUAUCCCAGUACAAAAGCUGGAAUAAACCCAUAAGACGAGAAGACCCUGUGGAGCUUUAAAACCAAGUCCACUAAAUAUGGAUCUUGAAUUUUCAGUUGGGGCGACUUUGGAGUAAAACAAAACCUCCAAGUAUAAACCUCUAUUAAGGUCAACACACCAAAAUAAUAGUACAGACCCAGCAAUAUAUUCCACCAAUUGCCUGAUCAACGAACCAAGUUACCCCAGGGAUAACAGCGCCAUCCCCUUUUAGAGUCCCUAUCGACAAGGGGGUUUACGACCUCGAUGUUGGAUCAGGACACCCCAAUGGUGUAGCCGCCAUUAAAGGUUCGUUUGUUCAACGAUUAAAGUCCUACGU